AUUGAACGCUGGCGGAAUGCUUUACACAUGCAAGUCGAACGGCAGCACGGACUUCGGUCUGGUGGCGAGUGGCGAACGGGUGAGUAACAUAUCGGAACGUGCCCAGUCGUGGGGGAUAACGUAGUGAAAAUUACGCUAAUACCGCAUACGAUCUAUGGAUGAAAGCGGGGGAUCGCAAGACCUCGCGCGAUUGGAGCGGCCGAUAUCAGAUUAGGUAGUUGGUGAGGUAAAGGCUCACCAAGCCGACGAUCUGUAGCUGGUCUGAGAGGACGAUCAGCCACACUGGGACUGAGACACGGCCCAGACUCCUACGGGAGGCAGCAGUGGGGAAUUUUGGACAAUGGGGGCAACCCUGAUCCAGCAAUGCCGCGUGAGUGAAGAAGGCCUUCGGGUUGUAAAGCUCUUUUGUCAGGGAAGAAACAGCAGCUCUAACACAGUUUGCGAAUGACGGUACCUGAAGGAUAAGCACCGGCUAACUACGUGCCAGCCGCCGCAGUAAGAC
rnacentral:rRNA from 1 species